rnacentral:rRNA from 1 species
GUGAGGAAUAUUGGUCAAUGGGCGAUGGCCUGAACCAGCCAAGUAGCGUGAAGGAUGACUGCCCUAUGGGUUGUAAACUUCUUUUAUAAAGGAAUAAAGUCGGGUAUGCAUACCCGUUUGCAUGUACUUUAUGAAUAAGGAUCGGCUAACUCCGUGCCAGCAGCCGCGGUAAUACGGAGGAUCCGAGCGUUAUCCGGAUUUAUUGGGUUUAAAGGGAGCGUAGAUGGAUGUUUAAGUCAGUUGUGAAAGUUUGCGGCUCAACCGUAAAAUUGCAGUUGAUACUGGAUGUCUUGAGUGCAGUUGAGGCAGGCGGAAUUCGUGGUGUAGCGGUGAAAUGCUUAGAUAUCACGAAGAACUCCGAUUGCGAAGGCAGCCUGCUAAGCUGCAACUGACAUUGAGGCUCGAAAGUGUGGGUAUCAAACAGGAUUAGAAACCCUAGUAGUCC